rnacentral:lncRNA from 1 species
CUGGACCGCGCCCACGUCCAGCGCCAGGAGGGUGGUCUUAAAGGUGUAUGUUCUUCCGGCUAUGGUGCAUUUUAUGGCUCUUGUUUACGCUUGCGUUUUUUGUGAAGAAAAGGCUGGGGAUGAACAGAAUGCGGCCGGGCAGGUGUCCCUGUUCCCUUCGAGCGGCAGCUGGCAGGUUUUCUCACAGAACCUCUCGUGCAUUGGAUGUGCUGAAUUAGUUACCACUGAUGACUUCCCGUCUCUACCUCCCCUUUGCUACAACGAUGGAUGAGCCACCACAUCUGGAUUUUUGCAUAGUUUAAGGAUUUGAACUUCGAUCUGUUAUGUGUUCAGCAAAUGAUUUCCCCACUAAACAACUCUCUGUCUCACCAACAUCAUUACAGCUUGACAACAACACUUCUCUCAAGAGGUCUGUCUUCCUAUUUCCCUUUGGGUUGUUUGUUUGUUUGUUUGUUUUCUUUUUUUUAAUUGGCCUUUCAAAAUGGACUACAUUUCCCAGAACUCUGAAGGCACCCAAUAUCACAUGAUCAUAAUCCAUCCAAUAAGGGGAGUGAUGUGUUCUUCCUCUUUUCCUCUUUCCUCCUUGGCCUAGUCUAAGACAGCGGAAUACUGGAUCUUGAGGAGGAAGGCCAUCUUUUAGAGACUUUAAAAGAAGACAGCAACAGUGAACUUACAUAUAAUAAAUAAAUAAAUAAGCUCUG